rnacentral:rRNA from 1 species
UAGUUGACGACGUGUGUUCAGUGAAAUCGAGUAGGGCGGGACACGUGAUAUCCUGUCUGAAUAUGGGGGGACCAUCCUCCAAGGCUAAAUACUACUGACUGACCGAUAGUGAACCAGUACCGUGAGGGAAAGGCGAAAAGAACCCCUGUGAGGGGAGUGAAAUAGAACCUGAAACCGUGUACGUACAAGCAGUAGGAGCAGGCUUUGUCCUGUGACUGCGUACCUUUUGUAUAAUGGGUCAGCGACUUAUAUUCAGUGGCAAGGUUAACCAUCUAGGGGAGCCGUAGGGAAACCGAGUCUUAACUGGGCGUUCAGUCUCUGGAUAUAGACCCGAAACCAGGUGAUCUAGCCAUGGGCAGGUUGAAGGUUGAGUAACAUCAACUGGAGGACCGAACCGACUAAUGUUGAAAAAUUAGCGGAUGACUUGUGGCUAGGGGUGAAAGGCCAAUCAAACCUGGAGAUAGCUGGUUCUCCCCGAAAGCUAUUUAGGUAGCGCCUCGGACGAAUACUACUGGGGGUAGAGCACUGUUAAGGCUAGGGGGUCAUCCCGACUUACCAACCCUUUGCAAACUCCGAAUACCAGUAAGUACUAUCCGGGAGACACACGGCGGGUGCUAACGUCCGUCGUGGAGAGGGAAACAACCCAGACCGCCAGCUAAGGUCCCAAAUUACUACUAAGUGGGAAACGAUGUGGGAAGGCUCAGACAGCCAGGAUGUUGGCUUAGAAGCAGCCAUCAUUUAAAGAAAGCGUAAUAGCUCACUGGUCGAGUCGGCCUGCGCGGAAGAUGUAACGGGGCUAAGUA